CUAACUGCUCUUAUGAGGAGCAGUCUCGCCAUAGAAGACUGAAAGAAUUGUCCUGCAGGAUGCUGUGUCCUGCAAUCCUGUGUGCUGUGCUACAGACGCGUGUGGAGGUCAACCCGAAAUGGGCACAGUCUCACCACAGAAGAGUGAAAGAGGAUCCUGGCAGGGAGACGGUAGUGUCCUGCAGGAUGGUGAUGGGCCAAUCUUACAAGAGACCACAGAAAACUGAUAUAGUGUAAGAUUAUCCCUGUUGGGCUCAAUAUG